rnacentral:rRNA from 1 species
GAUGAACGCUGGCGGCGUGCCUAAUACAUGCAAGUCGAGCGAACGGACGAGAAGCUUGCUUCUCUGAUGUUAGCGGCGGACGGGUGAGUAACACGUGGAUAACCUACCUAUAAGACUGGGAUAACUUCGGGAAACCGGAGCUAAUACCGGAUAAUAUUUUGAACCGCAUGGUUCAAAAGUAAAAGACGGUCUUGCUGUCACUUAUAGAUGGAUCCGCGCUGCAUUAGCUAGUUGGUAAGGUAACGGCUUACCAAGGCAACGAUGCAUAGCCGACCUGAGAGGGUGAUCGGCCACACUGGAACUGAGACACGGUCCAGACUCCUACGGGAGGCAGCAGUAGGGAAUCUUCCGCAAUGGGCGACAGCCUGACGGAGCAACGCCGCGUGAGUGAUGAAGGUCUUCGGAUCGUAAAACUCUGUUAUUAGGGAAGAACAUAUGUGUAAGUAACUGUGCACAUCUUGACGGUACCUAAUCAGAAAGCCACGGCUAACUCCGUG